rnacentral:snRNA from 1 species
GUCUCUUUGGGGACAUUCGAUAAAAUUGCAACAAUACAGAGAAGAUUUGGCAUGACCCUUGCGAGGAUGACACGCACAAAUUAUUCAAUGUUUAGUUACUU